rnacentral:rRNA from 1 species
AUUGAACGCUGGCGGCAGGCCUAACACAUGCAAGUCGAGCGAGCGACGGACGGGUGAGGAAUGUCUGGGAAACUGCCUGAUGGAGGGGGCUCACUACUGGAAACGGUAACUAAUACCACAUACCAUCAGAUGUGCCCCGAUGGGAUUAGCUAUUAGGUGGGGUAACGGCUAAUCUAGGCGACGAUCCCUAGCUGGUCUGAGAGGAUGACCAGCCACACGGGAACUGAGGAACGGUCCAGAAGCCUACGGUAGGCAGCAGUGGGGAAUAUUGCACAAUGGGCGAAAGCCUGAUGUAGCCAUGCCGCGUGUGUGAAGAAGGCCUUCGGGUUGUAAAGCACUUUCAGCGGGGAGGCGUUACCGGCAGAAGAAGCACCGGCUAACUCCGUGCCAGCAGCCGCGGUAAUAC